GGCCCCUUCGUCUAAUGGUUAGGACAGAAGGCUUUCAAUCUUCAAAUGUCGAGUUCAAGUCUCGCAGGGGUCA
rnacentral:tRNA from 1 species